rfam:Gossypium raimondii Chr10_contig_834, whole genome shotgun sequence.
AAUCCGUGGUGCGACCAUUUUUUAAUCAAUGUUUUGAAGUGCUCUCAUGCCUCAUGGAAACUUCCCCUUCCAUCUGUCUAAGGACAGCAAUCUCUCUUCUAAGUUA